AAAUCCGCUAAGGAGUGUGUAACAACUCACCUGCCGAAUGGAGAAGCCCCGAAAAUGAAUGGCGCUUAAGCGUAGUACCGAUACUUUGCUAUCAAGGCAACAAAUAGGGUCUUGAUAAGUAGGAGGACGUCAGUGUUUGGGUUGAAGGCAUUGGGUAGCCAGUGUUGGACCAACAUUGAGUGCAGAUCUUGGUGGUAGUAGCAAAUACAGAAGGGAGCAACUUCUGGGCCGAAGUGGAGCAAGGUUUUCAUAGAACGAUAUUCGAUAUGAAGUUAGUCGGUCCUAAGGAAGGUGGCGAAAGCCAUAUAAAGUUGAAGAAGUCCAGCAAUGGAGUACUUUGACACUCCGAAAGGGAAGCAUGUUAAAAUCCAUGCACCACUGCUCUUGUGAGAUGUGGCAACACUCUAGUAUGUCAACGACGCUUGCCAGAGGACGAGAAAGAGUUUUCUUUUCUUUUUAACCGAUAUAGAGGAGCCUGGAAUGGAUUUAGUCCGAGAUAGG
rnacentral:rRNA from 1 species